AGAAAUAACCACCUGUCUCUGAGACCUUAAACACUGUGCUCCCAAGCUAGCACCAUGAAACUUAGGGCAAACAUUUAACAUUUAUGAUUUCUCCUUAGUGCUGGGGAGACGACCUACAAUCUGGAGCAUGCCAAUGACCUUCGAGUGGAAGUGCAGAAAGUAUAUGAGCUAAUAGACGCUUUAAGGUAAAGUUUGCUAGGUCACAUUUCUUCUGGUGGCUAAUGGGAAAGAGGUGAUGUUUUGAUGACAAAGUGGUGGGGUGUAGAUUUGGGCUACUCAUUGGUGAAUGUGAGAACACUGAGGAGGGAGGGCUGCUUUGUCAUUUACUAUAGCUCUAUAGCUUCUGGUUACACCUACUUAGGGUAGGGUGUAAAUCCGAGGUCAGAUAUUUUCCUAACAUGUACAAGGGUCUGGGUUCUGUUCCUAGCACACAAGAGACCAAAGAAAAAGAUUUCUGAUGAUCAUUAGUAAUAAAGAGAUAGGAGCUGGCUGCUCUGUGCUGAACUACCAAUGUGCCUGUCCUCAUGGGACAGGUCAGGAUUAGCACUUCCUGUUUCAUAGAAGAGGAUCUUUGUUAGAAGAAACCCAGAUUCUUUGCAUGGCCGAGGUCUUGAACAGUAAAGAUAGUGACAGCAAGGCAUGAAGUAUGGGUUUUUGGCUGCCACACCUGUGCUUACCUGGGAAAGUAGACUUUCCCAUAUGGCCUUUUCUGUGGCCAUAUUUCUGUGCUAUGCUAGAAUAGCCAGAGGGGAAGGACUGGGCCUUGCUAUGAAGGAUACUUCAGUUUCUUCUAUGUUGUUCCACAUCCUCAUGGUACAAAAGCCUGGCAGCUCCAGAGGCUUCACUGUUUCUGAGGUUGGCAGCACCCGUUACACCGAUGCCUUUGUUCCAAUAUAGUAAGAAGAUCUUAACCUUGGGCUUGAACCAAGACCCUUCACCACAUCCAAACACUUUGCGGCUACAGAGAAUGAUCAGAUACUCAGCUACAUUAUUUGUGCAGGUAAAGCCAUGCUGGGGUGACAUAAGUGUGUGGCUUGCUUGUUUUCUAUUGAUACAAUUUUAUUUCUUAAAAUUAUGAAUUCCACAUUUGGAGAAAAAGCUAAAACCUGGGUAAAAGUAAAGAUACUUUUUAAACAUUUUUACAACUUCAUGCAUGCAUACAAUUCUUGUGGCCAUAUUUACCCCCAUUAACCACUCUCAUCCCCUUUCAUUCCUGCUAAUUCCAACUUCCCAGCUAGUCUCUCCCUGUUUCAUGCCUUUGUGUGUGUGCGUGUGUGUGUGUGUGGGGGGGGUGUCUAGUGUUUUUUGUUUUUAGACUUUACUUUAGAUUGUAUGUAUGUGUGUCUGUGUAUGGGUUGAUGCAUAUGUGAGUGCAAGUGCUCUGGAAUCCACAGAGCACAUUGGAUCCCCUGGAUCUGAAGUCACAGACAACGUUGUGAGCCGCUUAAUGUGGGGCUGGGAAUGGAAUUCAGGUCCUUGUCACUCCUGAGCCGUCUCUACAGCCACGGGUAUUGUGCUUAAAAUAGCUCUUAAUCCUCUGUCUCCAGUACAAUUGUUCUUCAUUCUGGUAUAUUUUCUUUCUUAUUUCUUUUGAUCUAUAUUUUUUAUAUGCAAUAUUUAUAAUUAAUUCAUUCCAUUAGCUUUCUCAUUACUGUGAUAAAAUACUUGAUAAACUUAAGGAAGACUUUAUUUGAGUCACUUUGAAAUCUGCUUAGAUGGAGUCAUGGUGGCAGGAGAGGAGAAAACUGGUUCUGUUGUGUCUGCAGUUACGAGGCAGGGAGAGGUGAGGUUGGUGCUCAGCUUGCUUUCUCCUUUUUAUUCAGUCAGGACCCACCCACACCAGAGUGGGUCUUCUCACCUCACAGUUUUCUGGAAAGACCCUUUGGACACACCCAGAGGUGUGUUUCUGUUCUAAAUCCACUCAAGUGGAUAAGGAAGAGCAGCCCUCACAGACAUUCCUGCAACUCUGUGUCUUGUUUUAAUCACUGAAUCUUCUAUGCUUGUUUUGGCCAUGGAAUGGUACUAUGGCUCUGUCUGAUAUCAUUUAUUGAACUAUUUAGUUGGGGAUUUGAUGGAUUCUAAUUUUGCUGUUAGUGAUAAGUGAUAUUUUCUCAUCAGGGACUCUUUCUGGGCCAUUGGCUAAUGGUUCAAGAGCAGCAGACUAAAUGUAGGUGACUAGAUCUGAGUUGCAUUUCUCUACCUCAGAUAUCUUAUGCAUUGUUAGAGUCCCUGGAUAACUUGGAUGCAAGUAGUUGUAAGGGAACCCCUCUCCCCUGGCAGUUGUUUCUUGCUUAUAUCAUCUUAGGAAGGCCAGGAAUUUUCAUUAGUUUUUUGAGUCCUGUCAAUUUUUUGAAGUUUCAUGACUUUUGGCCUCCAUCUUCCCUUCAGGAGGGGAUAUUUCCACUGGUAGAAUGUGAAUACAUAGCAACAAAUUACUAAAACGUGAUAUGUUAGAGAGUAGGGAGAGAUCUAAGGGUGGUAAUUAAAGAAAAGGGGCACCAGGGACUGCUGGGGUCUAGGUAGAUGUGGGUGGAUGGGCCCAGGGCACAGCCUCAGAAAGAAGCUGGCACAGGCCUGGGGGACAUCUUCAGAUCUGAUGCCGCCAUCUCAUAAGGAAAAGGCAGGGCCAUCUGAAAGGUGACUGCCAAUUAGCACGCAUGUUUUUUCUGUCAAUGGUUGGAGUGGCUUACCCUAAGUGUAUAAGGCUUAAGGUCCAAUUUUUCUCCCCACUUCUCCAAAACACUUAAGUCUAAAUUCUCUAUUAUUCUCCUACAGGAAAAGUUACUGGGUUUGAUGUCACUGCCAACCAAAGAACAGUUUGAAGAACUGAAAAAGAAAAGGAAGCAGGACCUGGAGCAGAAGAGGACCGUGGAGAGACAGGUGUGUGGGGCUCAGGUACCUGGUGGCUUCUGUGUCCCUGCCCUCAUACCCUACCCAUUGGCUGCUGAGGCUUCCCUUCCCUCAUACCUUACCCAUUGGCUGCUGAGGCUCUCCCUCUCAAGCCGGCUUCUGUUAUGCCCUAAGAAAAACAGCUGACUUCUCACUAAGUCCUGUUUUAUUUAGUAUUUGUGCUGAUAUUCUCCUGACUAGACCACCACAAGGACUGGCAGUUUUCCCUCUGUUAGGCUUGCAGGAAAGUUCAGGAGAAGACCUUGGAAUGCGAACUGUUAAACAGACAGUAGAGGUGCAGUAGUACACGCUUGUAUCCCAGCCCUCAAGAAGCUGAGACAAGAAGAUUUUAAGUUCCAGUCCAGCUUGUUUGCACUACAUAGUGAGGCUAUACCUUUUACAAGAAAAUGAGGGUGCUAUUUUAAAUUUCAGGGAUAGAAUACUUGCUCGGCAUGCUUGAGGCCCUGGGUUCUACCCCUAGCACUACAAAACCC
rnacentral:lncRNA from 1 species